GGGAGGUAGUGACAAUAAAUAACAAUACGGGGUUCUUCGAAUCUCGUAAUUGGAAUGAGUACAAUUUAAAUCUCUUAACGAGGAACAAUUGGAGGGCAAGUCUGGUGCCAGCAGCCGCGGUAAUUCCAGCUCCAAUAGCGUAUAUUAAAGUUGUUGCAGUUAAAAAGCUCGUAGUUGAAUUUCGGGAUCAGCAGGUUGGUCUUGCCACUGGUAUGUACUAGCUUGCUGAUUCCUCCUUCUUGUAGAACCGUAAUGCCAUUAAUUUGGUGUUGCGGGGAAACAGGACUGUUACUUUGAAAAAUUAGAGUGUUUAAAGCAAGCAUUAGCUUGAAUACAUUAGCAUGGAAUAAUGAAAUAGGACGUUUGAUCCUAUUUCGUUGGUUUCUAGGAUCGACGUAAUGAUUAAUAGGGAUAGUUGGG
rnacentral:rRNA from 1 species